rnacentral:lncRNA from 1 species
AUGAGGCUGCAGCCGAAUGGACUGUAAUAUUCAUCAAGUUGCUCUUUGGGUCCUUUUUUCUGAACUAAAAUUGGAAGGCUAGCUGGAACUACCAUUAAGAAUCUGUGGCAGGAACAGUGGGACAGUAAUCCCUUUUUGCAGAUUCUAUUUUAAAUUAAAUCCUAGUGUGUUAAAUAGUACCAUAGUUCUUAAUAAGAGGGGAUCAGAAACUGUAUUUGUCAGGCUCCAUACUGGGUAUAUUACUACCUCUAUUCUUUGCUUGUUCUUGAGAAACAUGAAUUUGGGCUUUGCACUGAGUGCUAAGUCCCUUAAACCGCUGAACACUUUCCCUGAAUUGCUGGAUUUUAAGCCUUGAAUACUUCAGAUCCUAUCAAGUUAAAAUUCCCUUUCAAUUUCACUUCUCCUCAAAGGCCCACAGCACUGAUUUUAUUUUAACUACUUAUAUUAUCUGCCUGUGUUAUCUGAACUAUUUUAUAUUUUUCUAAAGUCACCUAGGACGACAUCACAAUCCUGUGAAAGUAAUGAAAAUGGCAUUCUGUAUGCUUUAAACUGGCAAUCUGUAAGGAUAUUUACAAGUGUGGCAGUUCGGAAAUUCUCGUAAAAUGCAGCCUUUUGUUUGAUAAACAGUGUCAUCGCUCAAGUAUGGAACAUGUCUGUAUUAUCCACACUUAAAGAACUGAAGUAGCCAUGGGUAGUAAUUCAAGAUAACAAGGCAAUUUCCAGCUCUGCCCAAGUGACAGGAUUGUAACCUCAGUGUCAUGGGUAAACCUAGACUGAAAAUUUAUAUUCAGUGUUCUGCAAAAAUGAACUCUGAGGUAGGCUUUCUCUCUCUCUUUUUUAAACUUUUAAGCAUGAGUUCUUCAGUAUCAAGUCGUCCCUUCUAUGAACUAUUGGGUGCUUAGAGGGACAUUUUCUGGCUUUCUCCACUAUAAUUUUACUCAAGUGAAAGGCCUGUAGAAGUCUCAUGAAUAAAAUUGCAAGCGGGGAUGGAUCUAUUUCUUUUACAAGAAGUCAGAAUUUUCUGUACCUGCCCCUAUAUUUCUGCAAAUGCUUCUCUUGUUUUCAAUUCGCAGCAUAUCCAUUUCAAAUGUUUCCUAGAAUGCCUUUACCAUCACAUUGUUUUGGAUCAUGGCAACUUCAGUUGGUUGGAUCAAUUAUCACACUUGUAUGAGUGAAGAUGGUGUACAACUUCCUCUGAACCUGUAUGUGUGUAUCCAAGGUACGUUUGAUUAGAGUGGAGCAACUGAAGUCAUUAACAGGAUCCUGUGUUUCAAUCUUUUUUUUUUAACAUUUUGAAGAAAGGGCUUGACAUGAUUAUUCUCUUGAUUGAAGUUGACUUGGACUAGAUAGAAGAGUUCUUACCAGAUUUAUUCAGUCAAUUCAAAUGAUUAGAAAGAUGUGAUAUUCAAUAUCUGAAAACCAACUGUAACCAAUCACAUAUGGCUGAUGUGAUAUUAUUUGCUGUAAAAGCAGAAACUAAAAAAAAGUCUGCAACAUGAUUGUCAGAGUACUAG